CAGCAAAAUUAACUCUCUACCAAUACCCUCUCUAGCAACCAAACUAUAAAAAAUAAGGUGGUAAACAUUGACAGUGUGCGCUGUCACAGAAAAUUUUACACUUUUAAAAAUAAAUUAAAUGAAGUAUGAGCAGCGAUGACCUUUUUUGUGUUGAAAAUAUUACGUCUACUGUCACCGUUUUGGUGUUCGAAAGUCAAUAAUUUGUGAUUGUGAUGUCUUUUUUGUGUGUUGCUCCGUCAGUUUGGUGUGCAAAAAUGAAAGAAAGUUUAAAAUUUGUCUUUUUCGUGUGACGUCGGUAUUGCUUUAAAAAAAAGCGCGGCGCGGCAACUCCAUUACAAAAAAAGUCAGUGUCAAAUUUGUCAAAAUAAGGUGGUAUUUUGACUGCGUCAAAACGAAGUUUGGUUGCUAGAGAGGGUAUUGA